CAGUCGCCGCGGGAAUACAGAGGGUGCGAGCGUUAAUCGGAUUUACUGGGCGUAAAGCGUGCGUAGGCGGCUUCUUAAGUCGGAUGUGAAAUCCCUGAGCUUAACUUAGGAAUUGCAUUCGAUUCUGGGAAGCUAGAGUAUGGGAGAGGAUGGUAGAAUUCCAGGUGUAGCGGUGAAAUGCGUAGAGAUCUGGAGGAAUACCGAUGGCGAAGGCAGCCAUCUGGCCUAAUACUGACGCUGAGGUACGAAAGCAUGGGGAGCAAACAGGAUUAGAUACCCCAGUAGUCCCUGUCUCUUAUAC
rnacentral:rRNA from 1 species